GAUGAAGAACGCAGCGAAAUGCGAUAAGUAGUGUGAAUUGCAGAAUUCAGUGAAUCAUCGAAUCUUUGAACGCACAUUGCGCCCCUUGGUAUCCCGAGGGGCAUGCCUGUUCGAGCGUCAUUUCACCACUCAAGCCUGGCUUGGUGUUGGGCGACGUCCUCUUUGGGGACGCGCCUCGAAACGCUCGGCGGCGUGCCACCGGCUUUAAGCGUAGCAGAAUCUUUCGCUUUGGAAGUCGGGGCCCCGUCUGCCGGAAGACCUGCUCGCAAGGUUGACCUCGGAUCAGGCAGGGAUACCCGCUGAACUUAAGCAUAUCAAUAAGCGGAGGA
rnacentral:misc_RNA from 1 species